AAUCUAGCCCUAAGCGUGUCACGAAAAACCGAUGAAAAUGUGAAUUUUUCUUCGUUUUGAAAGUUUGGAGGCAGAGGCUGGACGUGAGACAUUUUUGCGUUUGCUCGAAUAUCCAAAUGGGAUUGUUCUAAUUCUAAUGGCUAAUGGUUAAACCUCAAGGGUCAAGACUCAAGACUCCAAGAGCGUCUCCGAUCCCAAAUUCCCAAUUCGGCAAUUCCUAAAUAAAGCAGCCAUUUUAGACGGGGCCAGUUGAGCGCACGGAGUAUACAGAGGCAGACAAUGAUCUCCGACGGAGUCGAAGACGAAGAGAAAUGGCUUACCGCUGGGAUCGCCGGCCUCCAGCAGAAUGCCUUCUAUAUGCACCGUGCUCUGGAUUCGAACAAUCUUCGAGACGCCUUGAAAUACUCUGCUCAGAUGCUCUCAGAGCUUCGGACUUCGAGGCUUUCCCCUCACAAAUACUACGAACUCUACAUGCGUUCAUUCGAUGAGUUGAGGAAGCUGGAGAUGUUCUUCAAGGAAGAGGCUCGCCGGGGCUGCUCUAUUAUUGAUCUGUACGAGCUUGUGCAGCACGCUGGUAACAUUUUGCCCAGAUUGUAUCUACUCUGCACGGUAGGAUCUGUAUACAUCAAGUCUAAGGAAGCUCCUGCUAAGGAUGUUCUCAAAGAUCUCGUGGAGAUGUGUCGAGGCAUUCAACAUCCUGUACGCGGGCUAUUUUUACGGAGUUACCUUUCUCAAGUCAGUCGGGAUAAAUUACCUGAUAUUGGUUCCGAGUACGAAGGAGAUGCUGACACCGUCAUAGAUGCUGUGGAAUUUGUACUCCAAAACUUCACAGAAAUGAAUAAACUUUGGGUGCGGAUGCAACAUCAGGGACCUGCCCGGGAAAAGGAGAAGCGGGAGAAAGAAAGGAGCGAGCUGCGUGAUCUUGUUGGGAAGAACCUGCAUGUUCUCAGUCAGAUUGAGGGCGUUGACCUUGAUAUGUACAAAGAUACUGUUCUUCCCAGAGUCUUGGAGCAGGUUGUAAAUUGCAAAGAUGAGCUUGCCCAACACUACUUGAUGGAUUGCAUAAUACAAGUGUUUCCUGAUGAGUACCACUUGCAAACUCUUGAUGUAUUACUGAGUGCUUGCCCUCAGCUUCAGCCAUCUGUUGACAUCAAAACGGUACUAUCCCAGUUAAUGGAAAGGCUUUCAAACUAUGCUGCAUCAAGUGCUGAAGUGUUACCUGAGUUCUUGCAAGUCGAAGCAUUCUCCAAAUUGAGCAAUGCCAUCGGGAAGGUGAUAGAAGCACAUGUUGACAUGCCUACCAUUGGAGUUGUAACUUUAUAUUCUUCUCUUCUCACGUUCACUCUUCACGUCCACCCUGAUCGACUUGAUUAUGCAGAUCUAGUGUUGGGAGCAUGUGUUAAGAAACUCUCUGGCAAAGGAAAGAUUGAAGACAGCAAAGCAACAAAACAGAUUGUGGCACUUUUAAGUGCUCCGCUUGAGAAAUAUAAUGAUAUUGUUACUGCCUUGAAGCUUUCAAACUAUCCCCGUGUCAUGGAAUACUUGGACACUGAAACGAACAAAGUCAUGGCAACUGUUAUAAUUCAAAGCAUUAUGAAAAACAAAACGUGUAUAGAAACCGAGGACAAGGUUGAGGCAUUGUUUGAAUUAGUCAAGGGACUUAUCAAGGAUUUAGAGGGGAACCAUCAAGAUGAGAUUGACGAGGAUGAUUUCAAGGAGGAGCAGAAUUCUUUUGCACGUCUCAUUCAGAUGCUUUACAAUGAAGAUCCUGAAGAAAUGUUUAAGAUAAUUUGCACUGUAAGGAAGCAUAUCUUGACCGGAGGACCAAAGCGUCUACCCUUUACUAUUCCUUCUCUCAUUUUCUCCUGUCUCAAGUUGGUUAGGCAGUUACAAGGCCAAGAUGAAAAUCCUUUCGGGAAUGAAACGUCAACCACUCCAAAGAAAAUUUUUCAGCUUUUGAAUCAGACAAUUGAGGCUCUGUCAAGUGUUCCUGCACCUGAACUUUCAUUACGGCUGUAUCUGCAAUGUGCUGAGGCUGCCAAUGACUGUGACUUAGAACCUGUUGCUUAUGAAUUUUUCACUCAAGCAUACAUUCUGUAUGAAGAAGAAAUUUCAGAUUCUAAAGCACAGGUGACUGCAAUACAUUUAAUAAUUGGAACGCUUCAGAGGAUGCAUGUUUUCGGUGUUGAGAACAGGGAUACCUUAACACACAAGGCAACAGGGUAUUCUGCAAAGCUUUUAAAGAAGUCUGAUCAAUGUAGAGCUGUUUAUGCAUGCUCACAUCUCUUCUGGGUUGAUGAUCAGGAGAACAUGAAAGAUGGAGAAAGAGUCCUACUUUGCCUUAAGCGUGCAUUACGAAUUGCAAAUGCUGCUCAACAAAUGGCCAAUGCAGCACGUGGCAACACAGGAUCGGUGACACUAUUUGUUGAGAUACUGAACAAGUACCUUUAUUUCUUUGAGAAAGGAAAUCCUCAGAUUACUGUUUCCACAAUCCAGGGCCUGAUUGAAUUAAUUACCACUGAAAUGCAAAGUGACACUACCACACCAGAUCCAGCUGCAGAUGCUUUCUUUGCCAGCACGCUGCGGUACAUCCAGUUCCAGAAACAGAAAGGCGGUGCAAUAAGCGAGAAAUACGAGCCCAUCAAAGUGUGACUGGUUUGGAGAUCUCAUAUCAGAGCUGCAGACAAGUUUUUGUUGCUAUCUAUGCUCCGAGUUCUGUUCUUCAACUUUUGUACCGUCUCGUCUACUCCAGGGUGAAACAUACAAAAAUCAAUUGACCCACAAUUCCACUUUCGUACAAUGAAACCCGAGGCCUGUACCUUGGAAAUUAGGCCAGAAGAACCUAAAAAGGGAAAGCAAGAAAGAAAAAAGAAGAAAAUUUCAAAGAGCUUGAGAGCGCAGACAAUUUGGAAAUUAUUGUGAGAACAGCAUAUGUCCUGAACUCUUGAUAUCCCUUUGUAAGAAGGAUAUUGUCCCAGAGUUGUGGUACAGACUAAUGUCAUGUAGAAGUCCAAAGAAAGUCAUUCAUUCAUCAGGGGAAAGCAACAAACAAGGCCUUACAGUUACAGAUACCAUUUGACAAUUGUUUCCGCCGCCAAUAGUAUUGGUAUCGGUCUCGAGUCAGGUGCCGUCGUCCUGUUACCAUAUUUUCAAAUUUUAUUGGUCUGAAGCAUUUAUUUCGAGCUUCCUGAUGAACAAACAAGCCUUCAAUUUUGGCACGGGGGUGUUUUACAAACUUGUUAACAUUAUUAAUUUAUUCAUUGGCUUUACAUUGCAUGCUAA